UUACGGCCAGAUCACGUUGAAACACCUGUUCCCGUACGGCCAUCGAAGUUAAGCAACGUUGAGCCUAGUCAGUGCCUAGAUGGGUAACCGCAUGGGAAUAAAACAAGUAUUG